ACAGGCCUAACACAUGCAAGUCGAGCGGCAGCGCGGGAGCAAUCCUGGCGGCGAGCGGCGGACGGGUGAGCAAUGCUUGGGAAUCUGCCCAUCAGUGGGGGACAACCCGGGGAAACUCGGGCUAAUACCGCAUACGUUCUGAGGAAGAAAGCAGGGGAUCGCAAGACCUUGCGCUGAUGGAUGAGCCCAAGUCGGAUUAGCUAGUUGGUGAGGUAACGGCUCACCAAGGCGACGAUCCGUAGCUGGUCUGAGAGGACGACCAGCCACACCGGAACUGAGACACGGUCCGGACUCCUACGGGAGGCAGCAGUGGGGAAUAUUGGACAAUGGGGGCAACCCUGAUCCAGCGACGCCGCGUGGGUGAAGAAGGCCUGCGGGUUGUAAAGCCCUUUCGUUGGGGAAGAACAGUUCCGACCUAAUACGUCGGGACCUUGACGUUACCCAAAGAAGAAGCACCGGCUAACUCUGUGCCAGCAGCCGCGGUAAUACAGAGGGUGCGAGCGUUAAUCGGAAUUACUGGGCGUAAAGCGCACGUAGAUGGCUUUGUAAGUCGGAUGUGAAAUCCCCGGGCUCAACCUGGGAACUGCAUUCGAAACUGCAUUGCUCGAAUGUGGAAGAGGGAAGCGGAAUUCCAGGUGUAGCGGUGAAA
rnacentral:rRNA from 1 species